rnacentral:rRNA from 1 species
UACGAAGGGGGCUAGCGUUGUUCGGAAUUACUGGGCGUAAAGCGCACGUAGGCGGAUUUGUAAGUCAGGGGUGAAAUCCCGGGGCUCAACCUCGGAACUGCCUUUGAUACUGCAAGUCUCGAGUCCGAUAGAGGUGAGUGGAAUUCCUAGUGUAGAGGUGAAAUUCGUAGAUAUUAGGAAGAACACCAGUGGCGAAGGCGGCUCACUGGAUCGGUACUGACGCUGAGACGCGAAAGCGUGGGGAGCGAACAGG